rnacentral:rRNA from 1 species
GAUGAACGCUAGCGGCAGGCUUAACACAUGCAGGUCGAGGGGUAGAGGAAGCUUGCUUCCUUGAGACCGGCGCACGGGUGCGUAACGCGUAUACAAUCUACCUUUUACAGAGGGAUAGCCCAGAGAAAUUUGGAUUAAUACCUCAUAGUAUCUUCUGAAGGCAUCUUCAGAUUAUUAAAGUUCCAACGGUAAAAGAUGAGUAUGCGUCCCAUUAGCUAGAUGGUAAGGUAACGGCUUACCAUGGCAAUGAUGGGUAGGGGUCCUGAGAGGGAGAUCCCCCACACUGGUACUGAGACACGGACCAGACUCCUACGGGAGGCAGCAGUGAGGAAUAUUGGACAAUGGGCGCAAGCCUGAUCCAGCCAUGCCGCGUGCAGGAAGACGGUCCUAUGGAUUGUAAACUGCUUUUAUACAGGAAGAAACACUCCCUCGUGAGGGAACUUGACGGUACUGUAUGAAUAAGCAUCGGCUAACUCCGUGCCAGCAGCCGCGGUAACAC